GUCGUAAAAAAAGGGCGAACAAUUAAACACAGAAGCGAAGAAAACGAACGAAUUGCCGCUGAAUCCUUAAGAACAGACGACGAUCUGACCCGCGGGCCUCUCGUCCCCUUCUUCCUGCACUUCAGGUCUGCAACCAUCAUCUAUCUGGCUUCCUAUUCCGCUUGGUCGCUUCCCUCCCUCCCUCGUCCUGCUCGCGCGCGGAGUGAGCCUACACCACAGGGAGAAGCAGGCGCCAACCGUGACACCGAGGGUACCUAACUGGAGGCCGGUGAUCUCCGGUUCCGGCGGCGGAGAUGGGGUCGUCGUCGCGGAUCUUCGAGUACUUCGUAGUGUGCGGGCUGGGCCCGGAGAUCCGGUCCCUGGAUGGCAUCAAGGGUUUCCAUGGCGUUGAGGAGAUGUACAUGUCGGCCUUCCUUGACCAGUUCCCGCCGUCCAACCACGCUCUGUACCCUCCUCCUCCUCCGCAGCUCCCCACCUGUGUUUUGCCAGCGGGAGUAAGAAUAUAUUCUUCAGGGCUGGACACAGAUGAUGUCUCAACUUAUCCACGUAGUUAUCCUAUAGUUUUAACAGAGGGAGAUGGCUCAAAAAUUUAUGUCAGUUGUAUUGCAUUUCGGGAUCCUAUUUGUGAAGACAUAAUUGAGGCUUACCAAAUUCCGGCGAAUUCGUUUGCUGAUAAAUGCAUCUGCCUUGUGUCCCAUUCUCCUAGUUUCCAAGUCCUUCGUGAUGCCCUUGAGGAAAUAUUUGUUCUUUGUUUUUCUCCUUCAGGGUGCAGCAAGCCUUUGUGGGACAUAAUAUCUCAUAUGGUGUCACAUGUGACAUUACCCACACCAGGAAAGAAUCGUGUCUUAUUUGCCAUUGAGAAUUGUCUUCUUUCUGCGGAAGCUCCUCCAAAAGAAUGGCUUCCCCAUGCUGAUAUAUCAUUCCAGCCAUUGGUGCAGUGUCUGGAUGUUGAUAAACUAAUACUUCUCUUUACAGCUGUCCUGCUUGAAAGAAGGAUAUUGCUUCGAUCAAAUAAGUAUACUCUACUGACUCUAGUUUCAGAAGCCAUUUGCCAUUUAAUAUACCCAAUUAGGUGGCAGCAUGUCUAUAUUCCAAUAAUAUUCUCUAGUGGGGUUGAUUACAUUGAUGCCCCGACACCCUACAUGAUGGGGCUUCAUUCUGGUGUUGACACAUCUGCAGUGACAAUGGAUGGUGUAGUGGUGGUAGAUCUCGAAUACAACCGUAUAACAAUAACGGAAGAAAUUCCUCCAAUACCAGAAACUGAACAUAACUUUCUUCGUGUUGAGAUUUUAAAAUUACUACAACCCAAUGUCAUGGGAAUUGAUUUCAUGAAAAUCAAUCUUGCCAAUAUGGGUGACCUAAGGGCUGGCACAAAAUCAUGGAGUCAGGAACAUGAUUUCCAACUUAGGCUGAUAUUUUUGAGAUUCUUUGCACAGAUCCUGAGUGGUUAUCGUAACUUCAUUGAUACUACUUCAGCGACUGGUUUCAAUUCUCAAGCUUUUCUUAAAAAGCGUUCUCGAGCAACUAACCAGCCUGUCGACUCCAUGUCAAUGAUUAUGCAGUUUUUGGAGACUCAAGGGUUCUUGGAUUAUCUGGAGAGAUGCAACACUGCAGAAGAAAAUGCCCACAACCUUCUCGAUAAGUUGCAGGAUGCAACCGGAAGAGGACAAAACCCUCUAACCAUAUUUCCUUCUCAAGUUUCUGAUCCUGAGAUUAUAACAAUAGCCAAUCCUGAGAUUGAAGGACUAGACAAUAGACACUGCUAUAAGAGGUUUCCAGCAAAUGCAAGAACAGAAGAACAAGAAGAAAAACGUAAGUCGAUUCUAGCGUUAGCUAGUGGGGCUAGUAAGCAAGUACCGAGUUCUCCUUCUAUCCGAGUAAAUGGGGGCCCAAAGGCAGAAAGUCUGAGCCCAAGAGAGAGGGCGGCUGAGAGAGAAAGGAUGGUUCUGGACAUAAAAGUGAAGCUCCAGGGACUCUGGCUUCGUCUUCUGAGACUAGGGGCAACUGAGGAUCCUCUCUCAUCUUUUGAAUAUGGCACCAUCCUAGCUUUGAUUGAGUCUGACGCAGAAGGCAUCGGGGGAAGUGGCUUUGUUGAAUGCAUCAGAGAGCAUAUUCAUUCGGGCUGGCAAUGUCGCUUGACUGAUGAACAAUUCAUUGCUGUAAAAGAAUUGCUUAAGAUGGCUAUAACUCUUGCGAACUCUCGCAACGACCUGGCGACCAUUAGAGAUGCUCUUGAAGUUUCUGCUGAAAUGUACAGAAAAGACCCAAACAAUGUUCAAGAUUAUGUUCAGCGCCAUCUAUUAUCAUUGUCAGUAUGGGAGGAGCUUCGCUUCUGGGAUGGCUACUUCGAAUAUUUGAUGGAAAAUUGUUCAAAUAAGUCAGCAAAUUAUGUAACGUUAGUUACUGCACAGCUCAUUCUCAUGGCAACUCACAUGGCUGGAUUGGGAUUACCUGACAUUGACUCUUGGAAUAUGAUUGAGAAAAUAGCCGAGAGAAACAACUUGGGUUAUAAACAGCUUAUCAAACUUAGAGCAUUGCUCACACAUCUGCAACAACUCCGGAUUGGCUAUUGGGGGGUUGCUACAGGGAAAAGCCAACCAUUGCAGUCAUAUGGCAUGGCUUCACCUCAUGCGAUCGAUGUGAUUGAUGAAAGCCAACAACCUGCUGAAGCAUCUGGGUUGGGCCGAAGUUGGGUGCAAAGUAUGUUUAGCAGAGACAGAAGUUUAAGAGCCAGCUCUUUCAACCGAGCUAGUGAUGGAAAUGCUGUUGCUGCCACGGGCAAAACCGAAAUCUCAGCUGCACAAAAGAAAACUCAAACUAACAUGAGGACCCUUAGAGGGCAUACAGGUGCUAUUACUGCUCUUCAUUGCGUAACAAGAAAGGAGGUCUGGGAUCUUGUUGGUGAUCGUGAAGAUGCUGGUUUUUUCAUCAGCGGAAGCACAGAUUGCACGGUAAAAAUUUGGGAUCCAAGUUUGCGUGGUUCUGAACUUCGAGCAACACUUAAAGGGCAUACUAGGGCAAUUCGAACAAUCAGUUCAGAUCGUGGCAAAAUAGUUUCUGGAGCUGAUGAUCAGUCUGUCAUAGUAUGGGAUAAGCAGACUUUUAAGCUUUUGGAAGAACUGAAGGGCCACGAGGCACCGGUUAGUUCUGUCCGGAUGCUCUCAGGAGAACGUGUCCUUAUUGCAUCCCAUGAUGGUACUGUGAAGAUGUGGGAUGUCCGGACUGAUACUUGUGUUGUUACCGUGGGUCGUUGCCAAAGUGCUGUUCUCUGUAUGGAAUAUGAUGAUUCCACUGGGAUUCUGGCGGCUGCUGGAAGAGAUAUCACGGCACAUGUCUGGGAUAUUCGCUCCAGCAAGCAGAUGUUCAAGCUUCAAGGGCAUACAAAGUGGAUAAGAUCAAUGAGGAUGACCGGAGAGACCAUAAUAACAGGUAGUGAUGAUUGGACUGCUAGAGUGUGGUCCCUUAACCGGGGAACAUGUGAUGCAGUGUUAGCAUGCCAUGCUGGUCCCGUACUAUGUGUGGAAUACUCACCUUCAGAUAAAGGAAUUAUCACUGGUUCAGCUGAUGGGCUCAUACGAUUUUGGGAAAAUGAAGGAACAAAAUCUUCUCAUUGCCUCCUUGAGGACCAUAAACACAGGAGGAAUAAAAUGCGUCAAGAAUCUUACACUUCACACAGCAUCCGUUCUGUCCAUUAGUGCCAGUGAUCACUGGCUAGCGAUUGGUGCUGCUGAUAAUUCUAUGUCUCUUUUUCAUCGGCCACAAGAAAGAUUCGGUGGCUUCUCAAAUGCAGGAUCAAAAGUUGCAGGAUGGCAGCUUUACAGAACUCCCCAAAAAACUGCUGCAGUGGUGAGAUGUAUAGCAUCUGACCUGGAUAGGAAAAGAAUAUGUAGUGGUGGUCGCAACGGACUCCUGCGGCUUUGGGAUGCAACUACAAGCAUCUAGGACUGAUAGAUGUUCAUGUGAAAAGGCAAUUGACAUGAUGUUGCAUGCCAUUUUCCUUUUAGCUAGGAAUUUAUGUGCUAUUUAGAGGAUGCGAAAGGAGCCGGACUUUGUUCUACUGUUUCUUUAUCAUCUAAAAAACCCUGCCCAGUUGAGUAUAUGUUUGACGUCGUGUAAAAUUUUGUUUAUAUUUUCGGGUUCAGAUAGCCUUACGUGGCUACGAUUUUGUAAGAACUAUGAGAAACUUGGGAAGUUCUGUACUACUACCAGUGCAAAUGUUUGUUUUAGUACAACAUUAUUUUUUAUGUGCA